rnacentral:rRNA from 1 species
AUACGCGUGUGUGAAGAAGGCCUUAGGGUUGUAAAGCACUUCAAUUGGAAGGAAAACCUCGAAGCUAAUAUCUUCGAGUUUGACAUUACCUUUAGAAGAAGCACCGGCUAACUCCGUGCCAGCAGCCGCGGUAAUACGGAGGGUGCAAGCGUUAAUCGGAAUUACUGGGCGUAAAGCGUGCGUAGGCGGCUCGUUAAGUCAGAUGUGAAAGCCCUGGGCUCAACCUGGGAACUGCAUUUGAAACUGGCAAGCUAGAGUUUAAGAGAGGUAAGUGGAAUUUCAGGUGUAGCGGUGAAAUGCGUAGAGAUCUGAAGGAACACCAGUGGCGAAGGCGACUUACUGGCUUAAAACUGACGCUGAGGUACGAAAGCGUGGGUAGCAAACAGGAUUAGAUACCCUGGUAGUCCACGCCGUAAACAAUGUCAACUAGCCGUUGGCUCUCUUAGAGAGUUAGUGGCGCAGCUAACGCAUUAAGUUGACCGCCUGGGGAGUACGACCGCAAGGUUAAAACUCAAAUGAAUUGACGGGGGCCCGCACAAGCGGUGGAGCAUGUGGUUUAAUUCGAUGCAACGCGAAGAACCUUAACUGGCCUUGACAUCCAGAGAA